CAACACUUCAAGGCUUUUCAGUAAAGGUCUAUCUUAGCGCCUCUGCCACUUUAGUUCGAAAAUGAAAGCUGUCGUGAUUGCCUGUCUGCUGUUUACCCUGGCUGUUGUUGUGGCCGACCAAGUUAAUGACGCGCCUGUGGUCAGAGAGUUGCAGGAAUCAAAGAAAGAUGUUCCAGUAGAGACGGCCAGGGCUGACGUGGACCGUAGACAAAUCAAUGAUGGUUGUGUCACUAAGUCAACUUGUUUGUUAAGUCUAGGAUGACCUGGAGAAAAAUCUGGGACUACAAACACAUAUUUGCCAUAAUAAAAAGCAAACUCUUUCCUCAAUGUUAUAACUAGGCAUCAAACUAUGAAAGAAUAAAAAAGUGUAAAAACCAAAAA